AGCAGCCGCGGUAAUUCCAGCUCCAAUAGCGUAUAUUAAAGUUGUUGCAGUUAAAAAGCUCGUAGUUGAAUUUCGGGAUCAGAUUGUCGGUCGUGCCUCGGUACGCACUGGCAUUAUUGGUUCCUACCUUCUGAAGAACCGCGAUGUCAUUAAUUUGGUGUCGUGGGGAAUCAGGACUGUUACUUUGAAAAAAUUAGAGUGUUUAAAGCAGGCGCACGCUUGAAUACAUUAGCAUGGAAUAAUGAAAUAGGACGUUUGAUUCUAUUUUGUUGGUUUCUAGGAUCGACGUAAUGAUUAAUAGGGAUAGUUGGGGGCAUUAGUAUUCAAUUGUCAGAGGUGAAAUUCUUGGAUUUAUUGAAGACUAACUACUGCGAAAGCAUUUGCCAAGGAUGUUUUCAUUAAUCAAGAACGAAAGUUAGGGGAUCGAAGACGAUCAGAUACCGUCGUAGUCUUAACCAUAAACUAUGCCGACUAGGGAUCGGAUGAUGUUGAUUUUAUAAUGACUCA
rnacentral:rRNA from 1 species